UUGCAAGUGAAGAUGAGCUCAGACUGCAUGAUGAAUCUGGUACAGAGAUUGAUGCAGAUGUAUUUGAUGAGCUCCUAAAGUCAGAGGUCCGAAACUUUAAGGUUGGAUACCCCAUUUACCAAGUUACAAAUUUAGAAAUUGCUCUGGUUGAGGAUGAAUCACAGUCAUCAGUGCUGGCAGACCCAUGAGAACCAUCAGUUUCAACUCCAGAGCCUUCAGCGUCACGAGCUUCUUCCUUUUCAUCUGAUUUAACUGUCGUUCUCCCAUCCACAAACAACAGGAAGAGGGGCCUGAGAGAGCUGGAUCGAGAGGAAGCAAAACAGAAAGUUGAUGCUGUUCUGAGGUCCAAUCCAAAGGGUGAAGAAAUAUUCAAAGAGUAUGAUAAAACUAAA